rnacentral:rRNA from 1 species
GAUCAUGGCUCAGAAUCAACGCUGGCGGCGUGCCUAACACAUGCAAGUCGAACGCGAAAGCCCCGCAAGGGGUGAGUAGAGUGGCAAACGGGUGAGUAACACGUGGGUGAUCUGCCUUGAAGUGGGGGAGUAACGACCCGAAAGGGUCGCUAAUACCGCAUAACAUCCUGCUUUUGGAUAAGUGGAGAUCAAAGCCGGGGAUCGCAAGACCUGGCGCUUGGAGAGGAGCCCGCGGCCGAUUAG